CCUACGGGCGGCAGCAGUGAGGAAUAUUGGUCAAUGGCCGGAAGGCUGAACCAGCCAUGCCGCGUGAAGGUCAGUGCCCUAUGGGCGUUAAACUUCUUUUGUGCGGGAGCAAUAAUGGUCACGUGUGGCCAGACGAGAGUACCGUACGAAUAAACAUCUGCUAACACCGUGCCAGCAGCCGCGGUAAUACGGGGGAUGCAAGCGUUAUCCGGAUAUAUUGGGUUUAAAGGGUGCGUAGGCUGUGAGGUAAGUCAGCGGUGAAAUGCCCCCGCUCAACGGGGUGAAGUGCCAUUGAUACUGCCGUGCGGGAAUGCGGAUGCCGUAGGAGGAAUGUGUGGUGUAGCGGUGAAAUGCAUAGAUAUCACACAGAACACCGAUUGCGAAGGCAGCUGACUAAACGGCCACUGACAUUGAUGCUCGAAAGUGUGGGUAUCAAACAGGAUUAGAUACCCUUGUAGUC
rnacentral:rRNA from 1 species